rnacentral:sRNA from 1 species
AAAAUCAAACCAUUGUGCCAGACUUUGU